rnacentral:rRNA from 1 species
CUACGGGUCGCAGCAGUGGGGAAUAUUGCACAAUGGGCGCAAGCCUGAUGCAGCCAUGCCGCGUGUAUGAAGAAGGCCUUCGGGUUGUAAAGUACUUUCAGCGGGGAGGAAGGGAGUAAAGUUAAUACCUUUGCUCAUUGACGUUACCCGCAGAAGAAGCACCGGCUAACUCCGUGCCAGCAGCCGCGGUAAUACGGAGGGGUGCAAGCGUUAAUCGGAAUUACUGGGCGUAAAGCGCACGCAGGCGGUUUGUUAAGUCAGAUGUGAAAUCCCCGGGCUCAACCUGGGAACUGCCUCUGAUACUGGCAAGCUUGAGUCUCGGAGAGGGGGGUAGAAUUCCAGGUGUAGCGGUGAAAUGCGUAGAGAUCUGGAGGAAUACCGGUGGCGAAGGCGGCCCCCUGGACGAAGACUGACGCUCAGGUGCGAAAGCGUGGGGAGCAAACAGGAUUAGAUACCCCGGUAGUC